UCGAAGAAGAAAUUUGGACUACCAUUUUUUGAAGUGAAAUAAAAUUGUAAACUUCAAGUAAUUCCGGAGAUUUUAUAUUUUGUAUGAAAUUGGCAUUCCUUUAACGUAUAUGUAGAUUGGUUUCGAUACUGUCAUUGCUUUUUAUUAAGUAUUUCAUUUUAGAAAUUGAUAAAUGUGUACCGCUGUCACGUUCAAACUAUUCAAACUGUCCGCGCAAAGCAUGCUGGGUAAAAUAUUGCAAAAACUUCCAUUCCCGAUCGGUGGCUGGAAGCGUCUAGAUCGAUUCUGCGAUUGAAGAUGAAUUAUUCAAUUAAUUUUUUUACUUUCUUCGCUGCGAUGCGUCUAAAUUGUACUACAACCUUCAAGAAAUAAUUAUUGUUACUCCGUAUGUGCUGUCCAUCUCUAUUUUAAAGGUAAGAUACGCUUAAAUAUGUGUUCUCGACACACAGCCGAAUCAGUUAGAAGCGCAUAGAAUGUUAAAGUAGCUUAUAACGAUUUUCUGCAUAAUGAUUCAAUCAUUUUUCACUUUCUCUAUGAAACAAACAAUUCUUUAAUUUGCAGUGACUAACAGUUACCUUCAAUUAAUCUUUUUUUUAGCAUAUACUGGAUAUAGCGUUUGAAUCCACGCUGUGGUGGAACAUUGCCUUGAAUGUCGAACGAUUGAAUUUCUACGACUUGUCUAUGAUUGACGAGUGGCGGAGCAGUCAAAGGAAAUCCAGGCAGUCGACGGUAAUGCACAAUGAACAAAGUAAAUUGGCCGCUCAAGGUCACCGAAGGAAUUCUCCCACCACAAAAAAUAGCGAUGGGAGCGAGUCACUGCGCUUCGUUGGGGACAACCGGGAACUUUGAUGCUGCGAAAUCUAUCCGAAAUUCCUCCUCGCAUUUCAUUCAAAUGAGUGGCAAACGCUUCUAAAAGCGGAGACCCGAGAAGUAUUGUUUUCCUGGAAGUAUGAUGCCCGAAGCUCGGAGUUACUGGUCGCUUAUUGACGUGUUCCACUUAUAGCGACAGCUCCGUCUGACAUUAAUCCAAGAAGCACCUUAACGUCUUUUCUCAACGUAAAAUCACAAACCAGAAUCGACAUCUUGUCAAGGGAGUCUUGCUGGACUUCCGACUGAAGUAUUUUGAUCUACGUCACAGUUUAAAACUGAAGCGCAUAAGUUAAGCAAUCAGCUACCAUGAUUAAGUAAAUCUGAUUAGACUCGGAUUACGUCUGUAACACCGUCAGAGCCACCAAGCAAAUAUACCCGACAUACGCGGAAGACCUAUCCAGUGCAAGAAGAUGACCACAUCGUAAACAACUUGUGAGAAAAUCGACAUAAAACAUACUACAUGCACUCAGGUGAUAUCAAGGGUGUAACCCUACUGGAGACGAGCCAACCCUGCCUAAUGAUCGGGGUAAAUGGGGUUUGAGCCAUUGGGGAUACCUUCGAGUCCUGCCACACCAACCUGAAGUAUUCCCCAGUUAUUCACCGACUCUACAGCAUGCUUCGCAAUCAUUAGAUUUCGUACUGCUCGAUAAAAAGCAUGGAGAGGGAAAUAAGAGGUAAUUAAAAUUUAUCUGGAACUUGAAAACCAGAACGAU